GGUCGUAACCAAGGUCUCCGUAGGUGAACCUGCGGAGGGAUCAUUAUACAAUAACCAGGCGGGCUGGACACCCCCCGCUGGGCACUGCUUCACGGCGUGCGCGGCGGGGCCGGCCCUGCUGAAUUAUUCACCCGUGUCUUUUGCGUACUUCUUGUUUCCUGGGUGGGCUCGCCCGCCCUCAGGACCAACCACAAACCUUUUGCAAUAGCAAUCAGCGUCAGUAACAACGUAAUUAAUUACAACUUUCAACAACGGAUCUCUUGGUUCUGGCAUCGAUGAAGAACGCAGCGAAAUGCGAUACGUAGUGUGAAUUGCAGAAUUCAGUGAAUCAUCGAAUCUUUGAACGCACAUUGCGCCCUUUGGUAUUCCAAAGGGCAUGCCUGUUCGAGCGUCAUUUGUACCCUCAAGCUUUGCUUGGUGUUGGGCGUCUUUUGUCUCCAGUUCGCUGGAGACUCGCCUUAAAGUCAUUGGCAGCCGGCCUACUGGUUUCGGAGCGCAGCACAAGUCGCGCUCUUUGCCAGCCAAGGUCAGCGUCCAGCAAGCCUUUUUUUCAACCNNUGACCUCGGAUCAGGUAGGGAUACCCG
rnacentral:rRNA from 1 species